CAAGAACGAACGCUGGGCGGCAUGCCUAACACAUGCAAGUCGAACGAGACCUUCGGGUCUAGUGGCGCACGGGUGCGUAACGCGUGGGAACCUGCCUUUAGGUUCGGAAUAACUCAGAGAAAUUUGAGCUAAUACCGGAUAAUGUCUUCGGACCAAAGAUUUAUCGCCUUUAGAUGGGCCCGCGUUGGAUUAGCUAGUUGGUGGGGUAAAGGCCUACCAAGGCGACGAUCCAUAGCUGGUCUGAGAGGAUGAUCAGCCACACUGGGACUGAGACACGGCCCAGACUCCUACGGGAGGCAGCAGUGGGGAAUAUUGGACAAUGGGCGAAAGCCUGAUCCAGCAAUGCCGCGUGAGUGAUGAAGGCCUUAGGGUUGUAAAGCUCUUUUACCCGAGAUGAUAAUGACAGUAUCGGGAGAAUAAGCUCCGGCUAACUCCGUG
rnacentral:rRNA from 1 species